GUUUCCGAGCAGCGGCGGUGGCGGCUGCAGAAGGUCUGGUCUUCCGGGGGGACCCCUUCACUUUCGCUUGGGCCGAGGGAACCUUGGCUUUAGCUUGGGGAAGUCGCAGCUCCUUGGGAGGAGGUGGGUCCCGACUUACUGUCGGGUGAACGCUUUCCAUUUUCUUUUCCGACUGGGGGCUGCUCGUUUCUUCCGCUCCGCUGCGGCUUCCAGGGCCGGGAUCCCGUGCAGGGACUCCUGUCCUUUGAAACCGGCGCGCUUUCCUCAGAUGUCGCUUCUCCUUUUUCAACUCUUUGCGGCUUUUUUUCCCACCCUGGCGGAAGCCCGCUAGUCCGCCACGACCUUGGGCUCGGGACCCCGGGAGCGGUCCCGUGAAGCCCCCGGGGAUCUCACUCCUAGAAGUCGUCUGCACAAACUCCUCCACCGCUAGCUUUAGCCUCUUCAUGGAUCCCUUCCCACCGCUCCCAUGACCGCGGUACGGCCCGUGCCCACCUUUACGCUUCAUGAAGACCAAGCACACCCGGCCACUGCCCGGGUCGGACUCAUCAGAAAAUUCUGGAGGCUUCACUAGAAACUCCUACUCAGGCUACAUCAAGAGAGUGGAUCUAAGGAUGAGAAAACAGGCACCGAACAGACAAGUAACUUCCCCAAUGUCAUGCAACCAAGAAUGGUGGAACUGGUGUUCAAACCCAGUACUCUGAGACUGUGUUCUUAAUCACUAUCCUAUCAAAUUAUCAAAGCAUCAGUUCAAAUAAUGUUAAUAAGAAUUUGGAUCAAGCAUCCAACACAAUAUAUUUGCUGAAUUAGGCUCAGGGAAUUACCUAACAAAUGAAGCAGCCAAAUGCUAGUGUCUGG